rnacentral:rRNA from 1 species
UGGGGAAUAUUGCACAAUGGGGGGAACCCUGAUGCAGCAACGCCGCGUGAAGGAGGAAGUAUUUCGGUAUGUAAACUUCUAUCGACAGGGACGAAGAGAAUGACGGUACCUGAAUAAGAAGCCCCGGCUAAUUACGUGCCAGCAGCCGCGGUAAUACGUAAGGGGCGAGCGUUAUCCGGAAUUACUGGGUGUAAAGGGUGAGUAGGCGGCACAGCAAGUCAUAUGUGAAAGCCCGGGGCUUAACUCCGGAGCUGCAUAAGAAACUGUAGUGCUAGAGUGCAGGAGAGGCAAGCGGAAUUCUUGGUGUAGCGGUGAAAUGCGUAGAUAUCAGGAAGAACACCGGUGGCGAAGGCGGCUUGCUGGACUGGAACUGACGCUGAGUCACGAAAGCGUGGGGAGCGAACAGG